rnacentral:rRNA from 1 species
CCUACGGGGUGCUGCAGUGGGGAAUAUUGGACAAUGGGCGAAAGCCUGAUCCAGCCAUGCCGCGUGUGUGAAGAAGGCCUUCGGGUUGUAAAGCACUUUCAGUGGGGAAGAAAGCCUUGGGGCUAAUACCCUCGAGGAAGGACAUCACCCACAGAAGAAGCACCGGCUAACUCCGUGCCAGCAGCCGCGGUAAUACGGAGGGUGCGAGCGUUAAUCGGAAUUACUGGGCGUAAAGCGCGCGUAGGCGGUCUGAUAAGCCGGUUGUGAAAGCCCCGGGCUCAACCUGGGAACGGCAUCCGGAACUGUCAGGCUAGAGUGCAGGAGAGGAAGGUAGAAUUCCCGGUGUAGCGGUGAAAUGCGUAGAGAUCGGGAGGAAUACCAGUGGCGAAGGCGGCCUUCUGGACUGACACUGACGCUGAGGUGCGAAAGCGUGGGUAGCAAACAGGAUUAGAUACCCCAGUCGUC